rnacentral:rRNA from 1 species
CCUACGGGAGGCUGCAGUAGGGAAUUUUGCGCAAUGGGCGAAAGCCUGACGCAGCAACGCCGCGUGAUUGAUUAAGUCCUUCGGGGUGUAAAGAUCUGUCAGUGGGGACGAAACUUGACGGUACCCACAGAGGAAGCACCGGCUAACUCCGUGCCAGCAGCCGCGGUAAUACGGAGGGUGCAAGCGUUGUCCGGAAUCAUUGGGCGUAAAGAGUUCGUAGGUGGCAUAUUAAGUCUGGUGUUAAAUGCAGAGGCUCAACUUCUGUUCGGCACUGGAUACUGGUAAGCUGGAAUGCGGUAGAGGUAAGGGGAAGUCCUGGUGGAGCGGUGAAAUGCGUAGAUAUCAGGAGGAACAUCGGUGGCGUAGGCGCUUUACUGGGCCGUAAUUGACGCUGAGGAACGAAAGCCGGGGUAGCAAAUAGGAUUAGAUACCCGAGUAGUC